rnacentral:rRNA from 1 species
UACGAAGGGUGCAAGCGUUUACUCGGAAUUUACUGGGCGUAAAGCGUGCGUAGGCGGUUUGUUAAGUCUGUCGUGAAAUCCCCAGGCCUAACCUGGGAACUGCAUUCGAGACUGCAUUGCUAGAGUAUGGGAGAGGGAAGUGGAAUUUUCCGGUGUAGCGGUGAAAUGCGUAGAUAUCGGAAGGAACAUCAGUGGCGAAAGCGACUUCCUGGACCAAUACUGACGCUCAUUGUGCGAAAAGCGUGGGGAGCAAACAGGAUAGAAACC